rnacentral:tRNA from 1 species
GCCGAUGUGGCGGAAUUGGUAGACGCGCUACCUUGAGGGGGUGGUAAGCUACGCUUGUGCCGGUUCGACUCCGGCCAUCGGCACCA